AGAGACUUAGGUUAGUACCAGACCAAGAGCCUUCAAAGCCCUAAGCGAGAGUGAAAAUCUCCCAGUCCCUG
rnacentral:tRNA from 2 species